CUACGGGGCGCAGCAGUGGGGAAUAUUGCACAAUGGGCGCAAGCCUGAUGCAGCCAUGCCGCGUGUAUAAAGAAGGCCUUCGGGUUGUAAAGUACUUUCAGCGGGGAGGAAGGGAGUAAAGUUAAUACCUUUGCUCAUUGACGUUACCCGCAGAAGAAGCACCGGCUAACUCCGUGCCAGCAGCCGCGGUAAUACGGAGGGUGCAAGCGUUAAUCGGAAUUACUGGGCGUAAAGCGCACGCAGGCGGUUUGUUAAGUCAGAUGUGAAAUCCCCGGGCUCAACCUGGGAACUGCAUCUGAUACUGGCAAGCUUGAGUCUCGUAGAGGGGGGUAGAAUUCCAGGUGUAGCGGUGAAAUGCGUAGAGAUCUGGAGGAAUACCGGUGGCGAAGGCGGCCCCCUGGACGAAGACUGACGCUCGGGUGCGAAAGCGUGGGGAGCAAACAGGAUUAGAUACCCCGGUAGUC
rnacentral:rRNA from 1 species